UACGUAGGUCCCGAGCGUUGUCCGGAUUUAUUGGGCGUAAAGCGAGCGCAGGUGGUUUAUUAAGUCUGGUGUAAAAGGCAGUGGCUCAACCAUUGUAUGCAUUGGAAACUGGUAGACUUGAGUGCAGGAGAGGGAGUGGAAUUCCAUGUGUAGCGGUGAAAUGCGUAGAUAUAUGGAGGAACACCGGUGGCGAAAGCGGCUCUCUGGCCUGUAACUGACACUGAGGCUCGAAAGCGUGGGGAGCAAACAGG
rnacentral:rRNA from 1 species